rnacentral:rRNA from 1 species
GGCUCAGGAUGAACGCUAGCGGGAGGCCUAAUACAUGCAAGUCGAACGAAGUUUGGUAGCAAUACUAAACUUAGUGGCGCACGGGUGCGUAACGCGUAUGCAACCUACCUUCAACUGGAGAAUAGCCCCUCGAAAGAGGGGAUUAAUACUCCAUAGUAAUUAGAUAAGGCAUCUUAUUUAGUUUAAAGCUCCGGCGGUUGAUGAUGGGCAUGCGUGACAUUAGCUAGUUGGUGAGGUAACGGCUCACCAAGGCUACGAUGUCUAGGGGUUCUGAGAGGAUGAUCCGCCACACUGGGACUGAGACACGGCCCAGACUCCUACGGGAGGCAGCAGUGGGGAAUUUUGGACAAUGGGGGCAACCCUGAUCCAGCCAUGCCGCGUGAGUGAAGAAGGCCUUCGGGUUGUAAAGCUCUUUCGGCCGGGAAGAAAUCGCACAGGCUAAUACUCUGUGUGGAUGACGGUACCGGCAUAAGAAGCACCGGCUAACUACGUG